GAUGAACGCUAGCGGCAGGCCUAACACAUGCAAGUCGAACGGUAACAGGGAAAAGCUUGCUUUUCUGCUGACGAGUGGCGCACGGGUGCGUAACGCGUAUGCAAUCUGCCUUGUACUGGAGUAUAGCCCAGGGAAACUUGGAUUAAUCCUCCAUAGUCUAUUGAAUUGGCAUCAUUUUAAUAGUAAAGGUUACGGUACAAGAUGAGCAUGCGUCCUAUUAGCUAGUAGGUGUGGUAACGGCACACCUAGGCAACGAUAGGUAGGGGUCCUGAGAGGGAGAUCCCCCACACUGGUACUGAGACACGGACCAGACUCCUACGGGAGGCAGCAGUGAGGAAUAUUGGACAAUGGGCGCAAGCCUGAUCCAGCCAUGCCGCGUGCAGGAAGACGGCCCUAUGGGUUGUAAACUGCUUUUAUAUGGGAAGAAUAAGGUCUACGUGUAGGCUGAUGACGGUACCAUAA
rnacentral:rRNA from 1 species